GCCAGGCUCUCAAAAAGGGUAGCCUGAAACCCUAUUGGCCACACGGAACCUCUUUUAGAUGCUGUUUGUGGACCUGCCGAAAUCGAAUGCCACUCAGGCUUUCUGAAACCCUAUGGGGGUGGGAAGAGGCAGUAGCUGACACCUCUGAGAGCAGAGGUUUGUGAAGAUGUGGCAUAGAUGAGGAGGCUAGCAGAGGGGGGGUAGUCAGACACUACCAACAAACUUCCUUUUUGUUCUCUUUGUUCUCUCUUCGAGGUGGGCCACCCCGCUUAGCUCCCUUUUGUCCAAGUGUGUUGCAAGGGAGCAGCAUUUCACCGGGAGAUUUGCACGCCAGAACCAGCAGUCGAUUUGGAUACCAUCAAGACACCUGAAACCUUAUCAUGAACCAGAUGCCAAGGAAGAGAUUCUGGAAGGAUCCUGAGGACCCCCCUGGUUGCAGCCAUGUCAAGACUGAUGCUGAGGAGGACCCCAACUGUCACGAGCAACACCCAUCAAACACAGCCACCCACCUGGGGACAGACCAAGAAGCUGCCACAGAUGGCAGAAGAAAACCUGAAGAAAGCAGGACAACCAGUCACAAUGAGUAAUUUAAUGGUAGCUAUGAUAGCGGUAAUCACCACUGCUCCUGCAGAUGUGGAUCCUGACUCCUGAGAGAAGUAGCUCACCGUGACAAAGCUGUCUUUGCUUUUAUCGAUUUGCAAAUCAAAGAAGGGGGACAUAUUGGGAGCAGGCCUCCCAAAAUCUGGCCAUAAACUGGCCACAAAACUGGCCAUAAACAAAAUCUCUGCAGCAC
rnacentral:lncRNA from 1 species